rnacentral:sRNA from 1 species
CCUUCUUCAGCGAUGACCCAGAACUGGACAAUCUGAUGGUGAAGGCAAUCCAGGUCCUGAGAAUCCACCUGCUGGAGCUGGAGAAAGUCAAUGAACUCUGCAAGGACUUUUGUAACCGUUACAUCACCUGCCUCAAAACCAAGAUGCACAGCGAUAACCUGCUCAGGAAUGAUCUAGGGGGGCCCUACUCCCCCAACCAGCCCUCCAUCAACCUUCACUCACAGGAAACCAAGAGAAUUGCCUUCUGGACCUGGGUCUGGGGAGGAGCUAGAAGGAGGGAGGGGGGCAGGCAGGAAGGGGAAAGGACAGAAGAGGACUCUGGGGCUGUAGGGUCUAAGCUCUCAGUGUCAUUGUCACAAACCACGCCUCCCUCACUGCCAGGACCUCCUGCAGAAUUCCCCCAAUUCCAUGUCUGGAGUCUCCAAUAACCCCCAGGGGAUUGUGGUCCCAGCCUCAGCGCUCCAGCAGGGCAACAUCGCCAUGACGACCGUCAACUCACAAGUCGUGUCAGGUCGGUGCAAAGACCGGGAAGGGGGAUUGUGGGAAUUCCCUGGGAGGAGAAAGGGUGGCCCCAAGGUGGUUCCAGGGGUGGGGGUUGUCCUCCACCGAGGGAGGGGCUCCCAGCUCAGUUUCUUGACUAAAGUUUUCUGUAAGUUUAUAGAUGGUUAGCACCAAGACCCAAUUGUGAUGGUUUAGAACAAAUUUGGGUCAAAAUCUCAUGAGCCCCUGAGAGGACCAAGUAAGGCUGUUGUCCCUUCCCCGAAGCACCUCCCACCAGAGGCUCUGCCCUAGGCUCUAGACACCAUCCCCCACCCACCCAUAAAGCAGAAGAGCCAUAGCUCGCUACCCAAGGGCUCCAAAGUAGAGGGUCUUUACACGUGAGUGCCAAAUGAACUGGGAACCCUGCUUGCCCUCGCUCCUACCCACUCCCAUGGCAGGGAACCCCAAAACUGGUUGUCUCCUCAGGUGGAGCCUUAUACCAACCGGUUACCAUGGUAACCUCCCAGGGUCAGGUGGUCACCCAAGCAAUCCCCCAGGGAGCCAUCCAGAUCCAGAACACACAGGUGAGUGUGUGUAGGUGUGUGCACAUGUGCAUGGUGUGGGCUAGGGCACCUGUAAUCGCUUCUUAUCUGCCAGGCACUUUACACGAGUGACUCAUUGAAUCCUCAUCAUCCUCUAAGCGGUAUCAUUACCCUACUUUGCAGAUAAGAAGCUGGGUCUUGGAAAGGUUUUAUCAACUCCUGGGAUUUUGCUGCCUCCCUCCUGGGGUUACAUCAAAGGAUCCUGCACUUCCUAUUCCUGUCUGCAGACUGAGCCGCUGUGUCCCUCAGUGGUAGAGAGUGCACACACAAAGGAAGAGUAGAAAGAUGGGAAGUCAGAGUCUGGGAUCUGACAUUAACUGUGGGAUCUCGAAUAAGUCACCUAACCUCUCUGAGCCUCAGACUUCUUAUUGAUAAAAGGGGGAUUAAUAGCAACUGCACACAGCCUAGCCAACCUACAGGGCUGCUGUGAGAAUGAACCACGGCGAUGGAUAGGAAAGUGCUUUGCAAACUGUAAAGUACCACAGAAAUGCUGAUAACUACUUGACAGCUUAUGGCAAAUUCAUAUCUUCUACUGUUCUCUCUGCAUGGCCCUGUUUCCUCUUUCUCUCUUUCUCUCUCUCUCUCUCUCCCUCCCUCUCCCUCCCUCUCCCCCUUCCCCAUCUCUUCCUCCUUGUCCUUCUUCCCUUCUCCCAUCACCCAAGCCUCACCUCCACUCUCUGAGGGGCUGGCAUGGGCUGAGAGGGAAAGGUGACCUCCCCAGGGCCCUAGGAAUAAGCCGGGAAAGGGGCUGGCAGCCGAGCCUGCCGUCGCUAUGGCAACAGGUCCCCAGCCGCUAGCCUCACAGUCUGCUGAUGCUGAUUUUCUCUCCACGUGCCCUGAAGGUUAACCUUGACCUCACCUCCCUCCUGGACAAUGAGGAUAAGAAGUCCAAGAACAAACGAGGAGUCUUGCCCAAGCAUGCCACCAAUAUAAUGCGUUCUUGGCUCUUCCAGCAUCUCAUGCACCCCUACCCCACGGAGGAUGAGAAGAGGCAGAUCGCAGCCCAGACCAACCUCACCCUCCUGCAAGUAAACAACUGGUUCAUCAAUGCCCGGAGGCGCAUCCUGCAGCCCAUGCUUGAUGCCAGCAACCCAGAUCCUGCCCCCAAAGCCAAGAAGAUCAAGUCCCAGCACCGGCCCACCCAAAGAUUCUGGCCCAACUCCAUCGCUGCGGGGGUGCUGCAGCAGCAGGGCGGUGCCCCAGGGACAAACCCCGAUGGUUCCAUCAACUUAGACAACCUGCAGUCCCUGUCCUCAGACAAUGCCACCAUGGCCAUGCAGCAGGCUAUGAUGGCUGCACACGAUGACUCAUUGGAUGGGACAGAAGAAGAGGAUGAGGAUGAGAUGGAAGAGGAGGAGGAGGAGGAGCUGGAGGAGGAGGUCGAUGAGCUGCAGACGACGAAUGUCAGCGACCUGGGCUUGGAACACAGUGACUCCCUGGAGUAGUCGGGCAGCCCAGAUGGCACUGAUCACCGAGCAGGAGAGGAGUGUCGCCGGGAGGCCUUCAGGGUGGGGGGGAAGGGGACAUGGGCAGGAAGCACUGAGGGAGUUGGGCCCUAGCUUCCCCAAAUCAGUAGCUUGAAGAAAGGCAGAGGAGACACCUGUUCCUUCCCAACCACCGAGCUUCAAUGAGGACCCCAGCCCCACUUCCCUGGAACUGCCGAGGACUCUGUUUGGCGGGGCCAGUCGAGCAGCCUGUAUGGAAAGACAGGACUGAGAUCUGGACUCACCAAAUCCCUGAGGACAGAUGGCACCCAUGGCCCCCACCCACGGAAGGACUUGAGUUGUUUACAAGCCCUGCACUGUGAGGCAGAUUGGUGCUGUUCGCAGAGUAGGCCUUUGCCCGGGGGCAGACUUAGAAGGAAGGGGAGAGACAAAGGGGGACUGAGUUUCAUCCCCAGAAGGUUCUCAGCUCCUUUGACAGACAUUCAAGGGCAGGAGGGAGCCCCAAAGCAUAACCAGUGGCCAGAGGAGUGGGAGGGCCUGAGGCAUCACAUCUUGCAGAUCAGAAUGGGAUGGAAUCCACCGGGCUCCAGCUCAUCCCUCCAAGGCCCUGUCUCUGCGCACAGCAACCAUGGACAUGGGAGAGAGGGAUGGGAGCCACAGUGCCCUUCACUCUCUCCUGGAAAUAAAUUGUAAGCUGGUGGGCUCAACCUGUGGGAGGUUAAGAGGAGUCCCUUCUGGGUUGACUCCAGGAGCCAAGGAGAUGGCAGACCCUGGGCUAGGAGCCAUAUCGAGGUGACUUUGAGGCCACAGCUGUCCCUAGGUGGUCACAGAACUUAGCUCCUGUAACAACAGGACAAUGGUGUUUUACCCUAGAUGUUCCCACCCUCAGCACUCCACGCCCCCCAUAGACCUUCAGAGAAGGCGAAACCAGGUUAUCUGGGAAUCUUUCCACCCCGCAGGUCGCCACGGCCGUCCCUCUGCUCCCAGGCUGGCUCCAUCCGCCUCCAGGUUCCUUUCUUCAUUCUGUCCUUCAGGGAAGGCAGAAGAAACAUUGGAAAGCAUCUAGUCCAGUGGGAAGCCAGGGGUUGGAGAAGGUGCUACAUCCCUCUUCCCAUCAAUAUCCCAAAUGUGGGGGAGGUCCCAGAGAAUGGCACCCAAGAGCCUGUGGGAAUGCCCACCCCACCCACCCCAUCCACCCUGCUGUUCUAACCCUGCUGUCCACAGCCCUGGAGGAACUGGGGCUCCUGGAAAGAGGAGGAGGCUCUCCACUGUCCACCCUAACACAUACCCUCCCACCCACCUUCCAUACCCCCUUGGUUGGCACGCUCUCCUCUCGUUCUGUCUCACCCCAUGGCUGUGAAUGACAGGACAGGUCACACGUGUGUUUUCCAUUGGGUUUAAUUUAAUGGACGUGCAGUUUCAUUUGUAAAUUGUGCAUUAGCCAUCUCCUUCAGUGGCAGGAUGUGAGUGGCUACCUGGCUCAACUGGAGGGGACCCUCGGGGCCCUCUGGGGCUUCCCCUCCCCCACCUGGUUGGGGUAGAGCAAAAGGAUGGUCACUCUUCCGAGGUCUCCCUGAAAUGAAUGUAUUUCUCCCCCCAAAAGAGCUGAUAUUUAAUGUUUUAAUAGGGAUUUUUGAGAAACAAAUAACCUUAUUUAUAAUCUGGGUGAUCCAAUCAUUUUUUACUCCCUUUUGAUGCCAUACAUAGAGGAAAGUCUAGCUUUUUUGGCGUGAGACUUUUGGAAUGUGCAGUGGGAUAAAAUGCGUUUCCUUUUCUGGUUCGUUUUUCUUGUUAACACGCGCACAGACACACACACACACACACCACACCACACACACCACACACACACACACCACCGUUCCACUCACCACCUGGACAGGCGUCCCCCAGCACGGACACACUGGCACACAGGUGCCCACAUCUCUUCCUCUCAUCCCCUCCACCUGCCUAAUGUUAUGCAACCUCCUUCUGAUGUAUCCACCAAACCAGUACUGAAUGUGGCCGAGACGUUUUCAGUAAAUCUGAUUACCUACCGU